rnacentral:rRNA from 1 species
UACGUAGGGUGCAAGCGUUGUCCGGAAUUAUUGGGCGUAAAGAGCUUGUAGGCGGUUUGUCGCGUCUGCUGUGAAAUUUCGGGGCUCAACCCCGAACCUUGCAGUGGGUACGGGCAGACUGGAGUGUGGUAGGGGAGACGUGGAAUUCCUGGUGUAGCGGUGAAAUGCGCAGAUAUCAGGAGGAACACCGAUGGCGAAGGCAGGUCUCUGGGCCACUACUGACGCUGAGAAGCGAAAGCAUGGGGAGCGAACAGG